CCUACGGGUGGCAGCAGUGAGGAAUAUUGGUCAAUGGACGAGAGUCUGAACCAGCCAAGUAGCGUGAAGGAUGACUGCCCUAUGGGUUGUAAACUUCUUUUAUAUGGAAAUAAAACAGGGUAUGCAUACCCUCUUGUAUGUACCAUAUUAAUAAGGAUCGGCUAACUCCGUGCCAGCAACCGCGGGAAUACGGAGGGUCCGAGCGUUAUACGGAUUUAUUGGGUUUAAAGGGGGCGUAGGUGGGUUGUUACGUCAGUUGUGAAAGUUUGCGGCUCAACCGUAAAAUUGCAGUUGAAACUGGCAGUCUUGAGUACAGUAGAGGAGGGCGGAAUUCGUGGUGGAGCGGUGAAAUGCUUAGAUAUCACGAAGAACUCCGGUUGCGAAGGCAGCUCACUGGACUGCAACUGACACUGAUGCUCGAAAGUGUGGGUAUCAAACAGGAUUAGAUACCCCGGUAGUC
rnacentral:rRNA from 1 species